UAAUAGGUGAUGAUGAGGAGAGUAGAUUUACUAAACCUACAGAGAGAAAUCCUUAUAAGCUGAGAGGGAUUUCAGGUCAAUGGUAAAUUGAAGUGCACCUCUGAACUAUUACCUGAACUUAAGUAGGGUAAAUCGGUUGCUCCGUUAUAGCUUAACGAGUUGGGGCUUGAGCCCAAACAGAGUGGAACCGCGGGAUAAACCGUCUCUGUA
rnacentral:ncRNA from 1 species